GACGAACGCUGGCGGCGUGCCUAAUACAUGCAAGUCGAGCGAUGAAGCUUGGUGCUUGCACCAAUUUGAAGAGCAGCGAGCGGGUGAGUAACGCGUGGGGAAUCUGCCUUUGAGCGGGGGACAACAUUUGGAAACGAAUGCUAAUACCGCAUAACAACUUUAAACAUAAGUUUUAAGUUUGAAAGAUGCAAUUGCAUCACUCAAAGAUGAUCUCGCGUUGUAUUAGCUAGUUGGUGAGGUAAAGGCGCACCAAGGCGAUGACACAUAGCCGACCUGAGAGGGUGGUCAGCCACACUGGGACGGGGACCCGGCACAAGCGGCUACGGGAAGCAGCAAGAGGGAAACUUCGGGAAUGGGGGGAAGUCUGAGCGAGGAAGGCCGCGGGAGUGGAGAAGGUUGUCGGGUCGUGAAAGACGGUUGGUGGGGAAGAACGUUGGUGAGAGUGGAAAGCUCAGCGAGUGACGGUAACUACCCAGAAAGGGACGGCUAACUACGUG
rnacentral:rRNA from 1 species